rnacentral:tRNA from 1 species
UCUUCCGUAGUAUAGUGGUCAGUAUGCAAGCUUGUCACGCUUGAGACCCGGGUUCAAUUUCCGGCGGGAGAG